GUCUUUUUUACUGGGCCUGUUAUUUUUCUGCUGGUCACACACACGCCCUCACCAUGAAGGGGCUCGCUGCUGCCUUCCUUGUCUGGACUCUUCUUUCUCCCAAGGGUGGUGGCAGUCAAGCCUGGCCCACACACACAGCCUGCAAGGACGGGGGCUUGGAAGUGCUCUACCAGAGUUGUGAUCCAUUACAAGAUUUUGGCUUUUCUGUUGACCAGUGUUCCAGACAUUUAAAGUCAAAUCUCAGCAUUAGAUUUGGAAUGAUUCUGAGAGAGGACAUCAAAGAGUUGUUUCUCGAUGUAAGUCUCUUCAGUGAAGGCCUGUCCAUUUUGAGUUACUCCUAUCCCAUCUGUGAAGAGGAUCUACCCAAGUUUUCUUUCUGUGGAAGAAAGAGAGGGGAACAGAUUUAUUAUGCUGGCCCUGUCAAUAAUCCUGGAUUUGAUAUUCCCAAGCCAUAUUCAGGCUUCCAGAAUGUUAAUAUCAGGAAUAGGACACUGAAGUCAUUGCUGAGAGCCAGUGGCACCUGUUCGUGCUCUCAGGGACCUCGCUCCCAGGCACCCUUCACGGCUGGAGAAGCAGCCCUAAAAAUGAGGAAUUAAAAUUCAGCACAACUUUAGAAGGAAGUCAGUCCUCACUUUGGCCAAGCACACGUCAUGUCUUCUGGAUAUUUUGGGGGUGGAAAUGACGACGUUGGCUUCGCCUUGUGGGUGGGCUCCUGGGGGCAGAGACGUGGCAGAGAGGAGGACCUGGUGUCUCGUGUCCGCACCCAGCCACUGGGAUGCAUGGCAAAGCCUCCAAGGGAGAGAAGCUGCAGCCAGGAGCUGAGCCAGGAGCUGACUUUACACAGAACUCACAGGAACUCCAGGGCACCGGCAGCAUUUCGUGGGGCCUCGGUGGCAACGCAGUACGGGGGCAGAGGGUGUGGCACAGCUUGGCUGGUUUCAUAACCCAAGGGGGACCCAGCACAAAGAGGGGCAGGAGAACCAGGCCUGGGCUUGGGUACCGCACUUCCCCCUCCCUAAACACACAGCCUGGGAGGAGCGUGAUGCAGAGUGAAAUAGGACAGAACUUCUCCGGAGCUGGCUCAGGGGCCCAGAAAUAACCGGCGGAGAAUGUGAGACGAGUCUGAAGAGAUCUGAAGAGAUUCUGUAAUAUGCUAGAAGAGUGCUCCACCAAAACCAGAUAUGAUCUCAACGUCAGGAGGAUGAGCCAAAAGCCAUACAGCAAAGGUUCAGACUGGCAGGUUAACGGUCAGGCAGUAACUCAGCUGAUGAGAUGGAGCUCCCAUGGAUCCAGACCCUAACUGUAUGAUAAGGACUCCUGGGGCAGCCUCUCCACAUGCACGACAGACUUAUUUUCACAGAAACCUCGUCAUGCCUCGUCACACAGCCAGACCAAGAGCCAUGCUUGGAACCAGCACUAGGGGUGAUGACACCUUUGUGUGAAUUGGAAACCAGAAUUCUGAGUGGAACAAGAACCAGUGGCAUACUAUUUGGCAAGAAGGUGCCACCUUCACACAGAGCAAAGGGGAGCUGGUCCUCUGGGCAGACACAUGCUCGUGCCCAGACACGUGCUUGGCAAGUGUGCGCACGCUGCGUUCCAGCCCCGGUCUCCCUCCGCGCCGUCCACACCCUACGCAACGGUCCCCGGUGGCCGAGGUCACGCUUUGCAUGGUGCAUGGUGCAUGUUGAAGAAAGAGAGCUGCCCAAGGGGAAUAUUCUGCCUCAGGAAGACGUUGGUUUCUGCCUGUUGACUGAUGACCCCUGAUCUCAUUAUUGCCCUGCCCUACCUCAGUUCCCACUCACCAUUACCUACCAACCAACCACUUCACAAGACAGCACCUUAGUUAAAAUUUAUUCUGGAGUCAAAACUGCUAAGUGAACCAGACACACAGGCUUCUCUCUAAUCUUGUUUUUGCCCUGAAUAUUUUCAUAUCGACUUGGAACUGAGCAUGUUCCAUUAGAACAACAAAAAAAGUCAUUAACAACCUUGCUCCAUGAAAGCCUUGCUCUUCUCCGAAACACCAUUACAUCAUUUUUGGAAUAUCGCUCCCUCCAAGAAGCUGUCCCUGUCUGAUGCUCAGGCUGGGGUCAAGGUCCCCCUCGGGGGCUCCCCAGCAGCCUCCCUUCGCCUAGACUGAAUCAUGACACUAACCACACUCUACCGCCACAGUCGUUUGCUUGUCAUCUGCCCUCUCGGGACAUGAGCAUCCCGAGAGCAGAAGCAAGGUUUCGUUCACCCUUGAACAAAUCUCCAACUCCUGGUUUGAAUUUUGGUGAAAUGAAUGGUCUAGGGAAGAAAAAAAGCAUUGAUUGUGCACAGUAUUAGUUUGGUUGGCCUGCUGUUACAAAGUAUCACAAACUGAGUGUCUUCAAACAACAGAAAUGUAUUGUCUCAUGGUUCUGGAGGCCAGAGGUCCAAAAUCAGGGUAGUGACAGGGCCAUGUUCCCUCUGAGGCUGCCAGGGAACAACUGCAUGCUGCCUCUCCUAGCUUCUGGUGUCCCCAGACAUGCCUCGGCUAGUGGGCACAGCACUGCAAACCUCCGUCUCCACACGGCCUCUCCCUGGCCAUCUUCACAUCACCUUCCCCCAGUGCGGGUCUGUCUGUGUGUCCAACUUCACAGGAACAUCAGUCAUAUGAAAUUUGGGCCUACUCUAAUCAUCUCAUUUUAAUCUGAUAAUUGCUGAAAAGACCGUAUUUCCAAAUAAAGUCACAUUCUUAGGUACAGGGAAUUAGGACUUCAAUAUGUCUUCUGGUGGGGGAUACAAUUCAACCUGUAACAUGUACCUACAAUCUAGCCAACGUUCUCAUGUAGAUAAUUUUACUUAAUCCUCACAGCAAUCCAAGGAAGUAGGUAGUACAGUUCCCAUUGUUCAUAAUACUAUAGGACUGAGGCUUAAUGAGAGGGCACAGGAAAGUCAGAGUGGAGGCAAGUGUAGUGCCCACGUGAGUGUGACUUCAACACUAGACGCUGGACCGUCCAGUGGAAAUGAGCAUGGACAUGGAGCACAGGGGGACCUCAGCCGAGGUCCUGCUCCUGCCCACUCUGGGCAGCAUGACCUCCAUCCCCUCGCCUGUUAAAUCUUCCUGUCAUUGGGAGAUUAUGUAAUAUCUAUUACAGAGGCUGACAAAAAUUAGUUAAUAUCAUAUCAUAAUAUAACUCUAACUACACCUUCCUAAGAAGCGGCCCCAGGAACAGCAGCAGAAUUCAGUUAGACUGUAUUCAGAAUACAGUCAGAAGCCUACAUUUCCAGUUUAUCUCUGGAGAGGAUAAGACUUCCCUGGCGAAGUCCACCCAUCCCUGUAUCCAUGAAGAAGCCACCUGCUUCCUUUUCAGCACUUGCCUCAUCCACCUCAGAUAUAAUAUUCUGAGCAAAACAGGGAUGUCUAGGAGCAGCGGCCCGGCCCAGGCAUCCACCCCUCUGCCUGGAAUUCCAUUGCCACUAGCUCCCUAUACUUGCCCCUUUCCUUAUCUUGUCCCCAGUGUCACUAUUUCAUAAAGACAGGCAACAAUGGGACUACUUUAAUGUGAACACGAAUCACAGAAGUCCUUUAUUGGUCCUUUCAGUCCAAGGAUUCAUGAGGCAGGAAAAGAGCUGACUGUUGGUCCUUAAAAAUUUCCAACAAGGCAAAAGCCACACUUUGCUAGAAGUAUCUCUCAGUAACUAGCAGCCCAACAGUCCCAAAGUUCACAUUUCACCCAACCCCUUUCUCCUUCUUUCCUUUGGGAUGAAAGUUGUCUACAACACCUGAGAGCAUGGUCCCACUGCAAAACCGACGGGAGUUGAGUCUCAGCUCCAUCACUUCCCAGUUGUACCAACUUGGGCAAGCUGCUUGAUUCUUCUGUGCCUCAGGCUCCUCAUCUGUAAAACGGGACUUCUCACAUCUGUGAGUCUCUGCCUCACAGAUUGUUGUGUGGAAUAUAUAACACUUGGGGUUUGGUGGCGCUUGAUAAAUAUUUCCUCUUCCCUUCCCUUUUUCCUCUGAGUCAUUUUUGACUGCUUGUAUUCAAACAAGUAUGUGAUAGCUAUACAGAACAGUAGAACAAUUCUAAAUACAGUCAACGUAAAAAUGUGGACCCUCAAGUCUGUGACGAAACUUGCAUCUUAAAAAAACACAAAGGUGAGUUUAGGGGAUGAAGCACUUCGAGACGAAUAGCACGGACAGCUACACAACAAAGUGAUCGCACUCAGUGCCACUGGAAACCUCAGAACAGUUUUACAAGUAAACUUUGUCACAUAUACUUUACCAAAAUAUUUCUUUAAUUUUUAAAAGGUAAAAAAAUAAUUUAUCUUGAAACUAUUUUUCUUAGUGGGCAAGGAAAAAACAAUGGAACCAUGAACAUUUAAUACUGGACAUGCCCUUCCAAAAAAUGUAAGUUUCUUGUAAAGCAUUCACUAAUUUUUUUUUUUGCAAAGCAUUGUAUAAAUCUAUUCAGCAUUCUUUGAUCUUAAAAUUUUGGCAGACAUUGACGCUAUAAUAAAAGUGUGUU